ACAAAAUGACUCUCGGCAACGGAUAUCUCGGCUCUUGCAUCGAUGAAGAACGUAGCGAAAUGCGAUACUUGGUGUGAAUUGCAGAAUCCCGUGAACCAUCGAGUCUUUGAACGCAAGUUGCGCCCGAAGCCAUUAGGUUGAGGGCACGCCUGCCUGGGUGUCACAC
rnacentral:rRNA from 1 species